rnacentral:rRNA from 1 species
UAGGGAAUCUUCGGCAAUGGGGGGAACCCUGACCGAGCAACGCCGCGUGAGUGAUGACGGCCUUCGGGUUGUAAAGCUCUGUUAAUCGGGACGAAAGGCCUUCUUGCGAACAGUGAGAAGGAUUGACGGUACCGGAAUAGAAAGCCACGGCUAACUACGUGCCAGCAGCCGCGGUAAUACGUAGGUGGCAAGCGUUAUCCGGAAUUAUUGGGCAUAAAGGGCAUCUAGGCGGCCCUGUAAGUCUAGGGUGAAAACCUGCGGCUCAACCGCAGGCCUGCCCCGGAAACUACAGGGCUAGAGUAUCGGAGAGGUGGACGGAACUGCACGAGUAGAGGUGAAAUUCGUAGAUAUGUGCAGGAAUGCCGAUGAUGAAGAUAGUUCACUGGACGGUAACUGACGCUGAAGUGCGAAAGCUAGGGGAGCAAACAGGAUUAGAUACCCUGGUAGUCCUAGCUGUAAACGAUGAUUACUGGGUGUGGGCAUGAAGAGUGUCCGUGCCGAAGCAAAUGCGAUAAGUAAUCCGCCUGGGGAGUACGGCCGCAAGGCUG